rnacentral:rRNA from 1 species
UACGUAGGGUGCGAGCGUUAAUCGGAAUUACUGGGCGUAAAGCGUGCGCAGGCGGUUUUGUAAGCCCGAUGUGAAAUCCCCGGGCUUAACCUGGGAAUGGCAUUUGGGACUGCAAGGCUUGAGUUUGGCAGAGGAGACUGGAAUUCCUGGUGUAGCAGUGAAAUGCGUAGAUAUCAGGAGGAAUACCGAUGGCGAAGGCAGGUCUCUGGGCUAGAACUGACGCUCAUGCACGAAAGCGUGGGGAGCAAACAGG